CAAAAUCCCGCCGACUAUAAUGCAGUCGUGCGGACCUUUUAAAGCUUGCUUUUAAAAGGUUAGCGGCGGACGGGUGAGUAACACGUGGGCAACCUGCCUGUAAGAUCGGGAUAACGCCGGGAAACCGGGGCUAAUACCGGAUAGUUUUUUCCUCCGCAUGGAGGAAAAAGGAAAGACGGCUUCUGCUGUCACUUACAGAUGGGCCCGCGGCGCAUUAGCUAGUUGGUGGGGUAACGGCUCACCAAGGCAACGAUGCGUAGCCGACCUGAGAGGGUGAUCGGCCACAUUGGGACUGAGACACGGCCCAAACUCCUACGGGAGGCAGCAGUAGGGAAUCUUCCGCAAUGGACGAAAGUCUGACGGAGCAACGCCGCGUGAGUGAAGAAGGCCUUCGGGUCGUAAAACUCUGUUGCCGGGGAAGAACAAGUGCCGUUCGAACAGGGCGGCGCCUUGACGGUACCCGGCCAGAAAGCCACGGCUAACUACGUGCCAGCAGCCGCGGUAAUACGUAGGUGGCAAGCGUUGUCCGGAAUUAUUGGGCGUAAAGCGCGCGCAGGCGGCCUCUUAAGUCUGAUGUGAAAUCUUGCGGCUCAACCGCAAGCGGUCAUUGGAAACUGGCAGGCUUGAGUGCAGAACAGGAGAGUGGAAUUCCACGGGUAUGGGCGCAUCGCGUACAGCUGUGAAGUAACAGCUGUG
rnacentral:rRNA from 2 species